UUAUUCCAUAAAUAUUUGCUGAGUCACAGGAUAUGGAGAGGAGCAAGAUAGGGCUGGUUCCUGCCCUCAGAGAAGUCUCUGCCUGGUGGGGAGACCAACCUGGAUCAAUACCCCUGUGCUCUGGUAGAAGUAGACAGAGGGUGUUCUGGAGGCAGAGGGAAGGGUUUUUCAUCAGGCCUCAAGCCUGAGUGGUAGGGGAAGAAAAGAGAUAUCAGGGGAAGCUUCAUGGAGAGCAACCUAAGUAACCAACUAAGGAAUUUCACCAAAGAGGGAGAGAGGCCCCACAAACUGGGGCAGAGUAAGCAGGAUGAUGGGGCUACUGAAGGGAGGGGAGGCAGAGAGACAGGCUGAGCUCCAAGAACGUCACCGUGACCAGAGAGUCAAGCCAAGAAGUGUGGAUAGGAUCCCAAGAGCUGCAAGUUGACAAGACAGAUGAACAGGUGUCUGGGCAUCCCACGGAUGAGGAGGACUGAAAACGUUUGAACUACCUCUCCGCAUGCAGCAAGACGAAUCACCCGUGCCCUCGUGCCCUCGAGGGUGUGAUGACUUCUCUGUGCAUCUCAUGCGGCCCUGCUCCCUUUGAACAUUUCUGGUGACAGUGCACUUACCUGUUCUUUCCUGCUAAUUUGGAAGCUCCACAUCUGGGUUACAUCUGUUUCUCCAAUCGGAAGACCUGCUAUCGAGCCCUCAACAAGUAUUUGUUGAGUGCAUGCUUUGGUUGCAAAGUUUCUGUUCGGAGGUUUUUGUGUUGUGUCUUUUAUGGUAGCCAAACUUGGGGGCGUUUCUGUAGCAGAGAAUGCGAGAUAGAUAUCCACAAGGGCAGGAGCAUGGCAAAUGAACCUCAGUGAGGAGGCGGUGAAAGGCAGCAGAAAAGUGCUGUGUUGUGGGGCACAGCACGUGCUAAGAGGCAGCGCUACCCAGCCUCAGCCACAAAUGUGGACAUUGUGACUAUGGGUUCAGUAUUUCUAGAUCAUUCCAGUUUUCAAAAUAACCUGGAAAACACCGAUUUUAAUGUGAGGCUGUCUGGCUGGCAGUAGGUCUGCAGGCCACCCGCUUGAGAACUUUCCUGACGAGAGUUACUCUCUGACUAACAAAUAGAUCCUGUGCCUGGAAUAGUCUAGUGAAACUGGACUCUCUCUCUCUCUCUCACUCUCCCUCCCUCCCUCCCUUCCUCCUUCUCGCCUUCAAAAAUACUUCAUUUUCUUCCAGGAAUGUUAAUUACCAAAUCAUUUCCUUCUGUUGUGCUACAUUCAUAAGUAGUUCUGGAAUGACUUGUUUCUUGUGAAAUGAUCAUUUGGGAGACUAAAUUGAAAUAAUAAAAUUAGAAAUAA